UUUCAUUGUAUAAGAAUAUUUUAUGGUGAUAGAGGCGAGAGAAACUCUAGGCAAAUGGGCAGGUUCGCCCCACCUUCAAGCUGAAAAGCCUGAAGCCCAAGGGCCAAAGUGAGAACUUCUGUCCCUGUUUGCCCUCUCUCUCCUGAUUGGUUCUUUCUGAAUAAUUUUUUUUUUUUUUUGAGAUGGAGUCUUGUUCUGUCACCAAGGCUGGAGUGCAUUGUCACAAUCUCAGUUCACUGAAACCUCUACCUCCCGGAUUCAAGCAAUUCUCCUGCCUCAGCCUCCUGAGUAUCUGGGACUACAAGUGCACGUCACCACAUCUAGCUAAUUUUUUGUAUUUUUAGUAGAGACAGGGUUUCACCAUGUUGGCCAGGCUGCACUUGAACUCCUGGCCUCAGGUGAUCUGCCUGCCUCAGCUUCCCAAAGUCCUGGGAUUACAGGCAUGAGUCACCCCACGCCCUGCCCCACAUCCUGUGCCUACAAAGAUCUGCAACUCAGCUGGUAGAGAUGAGAAGCAGCUGGACAUCAAGGAGAGGCAACUUGACUUCAGGGACAAUGGCUGGAUGUUGGAGAGAGGCAAUUUGACUUUGGAGGAGAGAAGCAGACAGACAACUUGACUUCAGGAGAGAGCAACCUGCACUUCCCAUCCGCUUUCCAGCUCCCCUUUCCACUGAGAGCUGCUUUCAUCACUCAAUAAAGUUUUCUGCAUUCACCGUCCUUCAAUUCAUCCACAUGACCUCAUUCUUCUUGGGCACCAGACAAGAAUUCAGAACCACCAAAUGCGGAUACUCAAAAAGGCUGUCACACUGGCCCUUUGCCCUUGCUGGUGGAGGACAGCCACCCCACGCAAUGAGGAAAAAGGCUUACUGAGCUGAUAACACUCUGCUGUUUGUGGACGGCAGAGCUAAAAGAGCAUUGUAAUACACCUCUGGGGCCUUAGGGUCACCCCCACCCGGACGUCACCGCAGGGCCUACACAGAGUUUGCGUCUGCUGUUGCCAAAGCAGCCAGCUGGUUCCUGCGCUCCAUUACCUACGUGCUCCCUUCGGCGGGGGUGGAGCAUGGUGGACUGAGUAAAUGGGGCAUCCCUGUCAUGAGUCCCAUAAAGCGUUCAAGAAAAUAUCCUACAUCAAUGGGAUACUGGAACAUAGUUAAAAACUAAGGAAAUCUAAAUAAAUUAUGAACUCGAGUUAAAAACAAGAGCGUUUGUACUUGGUCUCCGUACUAUCUAUAUUAAUGAAAUGAAAUGCUGAUCCUGCUGUUGUUUCCCAAAUUUUCCGUAAAAUGGCAUAGUUUUUCUUUUCUGGAGACUUUUGGAAGCUUGCAGUAAAGGAAAACAAUGGCCUAACCAAUGGCCUAGUUUGCGUGCCAGAGACCCAUGAUCUCCUGACAACUCUCCUGUUCAGCUUCUCAGGGACACAUGAUCUGAAUGCACCAUGGAAAACUCCCCAAAUGCAAAGGAAAUUAAAGGGGCUCCCUACUCUUUGUCUAUGGAUGAAGUUAUGGACAUUCUGAACCAAAUCCACCUCUUCUACUUAUUCAAAUUUUGUUCACCGUGAGGCCUCUAUAAGGAAAGAUGGAUUAAAGAAAAGGAUAGACUUAUUUAACACACGUUUUAUGUGACACGGGAACCUUCAUACGGAAAUGAAGACCUGAAGAAACAGGUUAAAACAAUGAAAAGAAAGCAACUAUUCUGUUGGACUGAACAAUUUAUUUGAAACUUUGACUUCACAAAGACUCAAGUAGCAUUCUUUCAUUUGUUUCAUGGUGUUAGUUGGUUUAACCUUUUUUGACUUGUCCGAGCACAGUGAAUUCACUGCCCACGGGGAGUUUGCUGACCAUCUGCUCUAUGUCAUGUAGAAAAGCCACAGGGCCUUUCUUCCUUUCCUGGUGUCCGUAGUUCCAGAAGGAUUUAGUCAAGAUAAAAUUGCCUCCCAUCUUGAGUUGAUGUGUUUGAAUGUAAGAGUUACCUUUGGAGGGGAAAAGAAAUAACUUUUUUUUUUUUAAUCUAUCAUUAAGUUCAUGGCUUGGGCCCUAAUAACAAAGGACAGAUUAACAAGAGAAAAGCAUACACAUUUAUUUAAUAUAAGUUUUAUGUGACAUGAGAGCAUUCAUAAAGAAAUGAAGGCCUAAAGAAAUAGAGAAACUUGGAGAUUUUUAUGCUGAGGUUUGAUUAAGUGUGAUUGGACGACAAAAGGGCAUGAUCUAAUGGUAAUAAAAAUUAAGAAUUAAGGGGGAAUUAAGCAAGGUCUGUUUGUUCAUAUUCUUCUCUGUGUCCCUGUGUCCUCAGAGGUAAGGAUGGUCCUUUUCUCUGUGUUUGAAAGGAUAUUUUUUGAAUGAAGGUCUCAUGCCCUGCUCCAUGGAAGAAGAGUGAGGGGAAGAGGAGAAUGGCUCUUCUGCUUCUGCUGUUUUCUCAAAUACCAUGAUGCCAUAUUUGGGGGGCAGCAUGUCCUGAACCCCACUACCUUGUUUCUUUCAAAAGUAAUUCCAGUUUAGUAUCUUGGAGGGUUAUAAAGCUUCACUAAAUAGAAUGUCUAUUACACCCUGACCCUCUGGAGGCCUUCUUUCCUCCAUCUGCAUUAUCAAUCCCUGGUGAUUCUCACAAUCGUCCUAGAACCUCCAAAGAGUUCUCCACUUUUAUUUUCUUUUUCACAUUUCAUUUUAGUUGCUGAGCUAAGCCUGAAUUGGCAUUUCCAUAAACUCCCCUUUCAUAGCUAUAAAUAAUUAUAUUUCCUUUAGUCCAGUCUACUUACAAUGUUGUGGUUUUAAAAAAAUAAAUUAAAAUUUAAAAAGACUUCAGUUUGGGAUUUCAACUUAUCAUUUUAUGUAUUUUCGAUUUUUGUGGAGGGAGGGAAGUGUAGAAGAGAGGAAAAUAAAGCCAAAGUAUAAAACUGCAGGAACGGCGUGUAUGAGAGCAUUUUCCACCAUUAUAAUGGAACUAGAAUACAUAUGCCCUGAAAAGUUAGAAAAAAAAAAAGACCACAUUAGAUUUCCAGUGGAGGCGGCGGCAGAGCUUUAGAUAUAAAGCUUCUUUUUACUCCUACUCUUUAUGGGCAUGGGUUUAAAAUGGUAUUUUUAUUAACAAAGUAGUUCUAUCAGGGAGGCAUCCUGGGCAUGCCGGUGCACCAGCUGAUUCCCCUCUUAGUCUCUAUUUCUAGUCUUCCUUAUCCUAUUCUUCCCUAUUUUUAUUUCUCUAGUUCCCAUUUUUUCCUUUUGACCUUCCUGUCCCUGCAAUGUGCGCAUUGGUUCUUAGCCCUUGGUGAACCAGGCUCUAAACAGUUUCAUGACUCUUAAACCACGUCAAGAAAAUCACAAAGGAUUCCUUAAAGGAUCAGGAAGUGUUACUGUAUCUAUAAAGACUGCACAUAGCUGAAUUUCUAGGUCUCCUCAAAUCUGAAUUUCAACUUCAAAAAGCAGUUGAACAGGACUUCUAUUUGUUUAGUGCAUUUAUUAGAUGGCUUGAUGCAGGUCAAAGGGGGUGUGAUUCUAUUUUGAAAGUAUCUCAGCUGAUUUUUGUUCACACCUAGGCCCCCACUGACAUUUUUUCCUAGAUAUCCAUUGAAAAAUCAGAAAUUGCAAUGAAAUGCUGUAUUCCACAUGAAGCUGUAGGGGAGCGAAAAUAUCUUUUCCUCAUCCAUUGCUAGGUUCAUGGCUAAGACCCCCAUAACAAAAGAUGGACUAACAAGAGAAAAAUAAAUAAAUUUAUUUGAGUUUUAUGUGACAUGAGAGCCUUCCUAAGGUAAUGAAGACCUGAAGAAACAGGUAAACCUGUGUAUUUUUUAUGCUGGAUUUAAUAAGUAGAUAGUUGUGGAGAAGUAUGAUUGGAUUAAAAAGUAUGAUCUGAUGAUAAUAUACUAGGGAGACUUAGCGAGGCCUGUUUUCUUAGAUUCUUCUCUGUAUCCCUGUGUCUUCAGAGAUAAGGAUAUUCCUUUCCUCCAGGCGUAGGAGGCAGUCUCUCACAUGCAGGUCUUACGUUCUGCUUCAGGGGAAGGUCAAAAAAUCCUUUCUAGGUUUUUUGACCUUCCUUCCUUCAGGAAGGAAGGGUGGGAGAAGGUCAGACAGACCUUCCUGUUUCUGCCAUCUUCUCACAUUCCUUCAGCUUAAAAUACUUAGUAUGCAAGAUGCCAUAUUUUGGGGGAGUGGUUUCUGAACCCCAUGAAAACUAUUUGCAUUGCAGAAAAAAAAAACAGCUUCAAUGGGAAACUAUGCAUCAUCUGGUACACUACACCCUUCCUAUUAUCUGAUUCUAGCCUUUCCUUGUCUUUGAGUUAUUUUACAACCCUGUAUCUUGCAGGUAACUGAUAGACAUGCACAUUCUGCCCUGUCUAAUAUAGGUUCAAUUGACUUCCUCCCCCUACCUGUGGAAAAACUGGUUUUAUUCCAUUUGCAUGCUAAUUUCAAUAUUCCUGAUCUUUAAAUAUGUCUCUUCACAUUCUCUUGAACCAGUUAUAAUAUCUUCUGCAUUCCGUCUUUGAUUAAUGGCUAGAAUCAAAUCUUUAACAUGUUCAUUUUUAUAUCUGUAUGAGGGUCGUGAUUUCACCCUUCUUUUGAAAAUUAUCUUGUAAUGCCAUUCUCCCUAGCCUUUAUUCAUCAUUCAUUUCCUAACUCUGAUAGUUCUUUUUAUUUUUAGAGAGGGUGAUUAUGCUUCCUGAAUUCUGCAUUUGAUGAGCAUAAAUAUUUUUACAGGCAUGAUGGGCCACAACAUUUGGAAUUGGGAUGUCCCAGAAAAUCUGAUACGUGUGACUGUACAACAAUAUUUCUCAUAGAACUAUAGAGAUGGAAAAGGUCUUAAGUUCUUCUUGUCUCCUUCAUUACAGGAACAAAACUAAUAAAAAUCCAGAGAAAUGGAGAAUUUUUUCAAGAUUGCAGAGAUUUUGAGUAGUAACAGAAUUGUGUAUGAACCUGCUGGGGCUCAGAACAUGAUACUCCAAAGUAUGGUGCUUUGGCAUGCUGACUACUUUGAACUAAAGGAGAUUGAAAGGCCUCAGAAGCAAGGUCUCUCUGAGCUUUUCCUGCUCCCCUGUCCCUCACUUCUUUUUAGUGAGCCAUAGAAACCAGAAUUCUUCUCCCUCAAAGCAAGCCAAAAUCUUAGAAAGGUCACUCCCUCUCUUCUCCCUUGAAGACUACCAUUCCAUAAGGGUCCUAUCCCAUACCUGGGAGGAAGAAAUGUUACACAGAGAGGCCAAAAAGAAUCUAAACAGACAAGCCUUGCUGGGCUCCUACCAUUCCCAGUCUAUUACCAUUAGAUCAUACUCUUUGGUCCAAUCACAUUUCCAUAUGCCUUGUCCAUUCUUCAUUAAAUCUAAGCAUAAAAAUAAACAGCUUUCCUCGGGUCUUUGGGUCUUCUUUUCUGACAGUUCCCAUGUUACGUAAAACUUUGAUUGAAUACGUUUGUUAUGGUUUUGUCUCGUUAAUCUCUUUUGUUAUAGGAGUGUCCCUUAUGAUGGAUGAGGAAAGUUAUUAUAUCUUUUCUCCCUUGCAAACCCAAGACUGGCUAAUUCCGGAUUUCAGGGUCUUUUUUACUACAGUAAACUCUUUCUAAAGUGGGGCUAAUAAUAUGAACCUAAAAACUAAUGUAACAGUUAAAUGACAUCUGAAUCUGAAGAACCUAAUACCAUGCCUCACUCAUAGCAGAGGCUUCUGGUGUUCUCUCUCAAUGAAUACAAUAAAAUGAGAAAGCAAAUGGCACCAUUUCUGUGUCUGCUUGGUCAGCCAGUCUCGUUAACUCAUAGGCACACUUCACAUCUCAUUUAUGUUUCCCAGAAUGAUUAGACACAUAAUAAAUGCUCGAUAAAAUUUUGUUGAAUAGAAUUGAUUUGAGCAGAAUGAGCAGUUAUGUGAAGGAACCACAGCUGAUUUUAAACAAAGACUCUUUUAACUCUAGAGAUUGAAGGGAGAGCAUGUUCUCAUUGUGAAUUGUACCCUAAUCCUUACAUCAACCAUAAAUUCUAAAAAUAAUCAAACUAGAUUUUUGGUGAAUGAUUUAUCAUCUAGAACAAUUGUGUUUUCUUUUAAAUUUAAAUUUAAGUUUUUUCUUUUUUUAGAGACAGGGUCCUGCUCUGUCUCUCAGCUGGAGUUCAGUGGUACAAUCAUAAUUCAUUGCGGCCUGCAACUCCUGGGCUCAAGCAAUCCUCCUGCCUCAGCCUCCCAAGUAGCUAGGACUAUAGGUACACACCACCUCACUUGGCUAAUUUUUAUAUUUUUUUUGUAGAGAAGGGGUCUUGCUUUGUUGCUCAGGCUGGUCUUGAACUCUUGGCUUCAAGUGAUCUUCCCACCUGGGGCUCCCAAUGUGUGGGGAUUUCAGGCUUGAGCCACCACCCACCCGGCUGCAAUUGUAACCAAAUAUCCUGACCUACUUUCUGCUGAAAAUCACCCUACUUUCCUCUUUACAUAGAAAUAUUAUCACAAAUCCCUUUGAAUGAGCAACUGCCUAUUUUAGGAAAUCAGUGACUGUACUUAUAUUGGUUACGGCUUCCUUCCUCAGCAAAUAUUCCCAGGUUGAUCUUCAGUUCAGGCGAAUGACGCUGGGCAGUAUUCGCAAAGGCCCUCUAUAGUAUAGAUGCCUGAGAGCUCUUUAGGCUGUGUGCUAACAAUAUUUUGAUAUACUCUGUUUUUCUCC
rnacentral:lncRNA from 1 species